AGAGUUUGAUCAUGGCUCAGGACGAACGCUUGCGGCGUGCCUAAGAAAUGCAAGUCGAACGGACGGGGUAACCCGUUAGUGGCGAACGGUCGCGUAACACGUAAGAAACCUGCCCAAGAGUGGGGGACAACGACCCGAAAGGGUCGCUAAUACCGCAUACAGACGCGGGGCGGCAUCGCCUUGUGUUUAAAGCCUUUGUGCGCUUUUGGAUGGUCUUGCGGCCUAUCAGGUAGAUGGUGGGGUAACGGCCUACCAUGCCGACGACGGGUAGCUGGUCUGAGAGGACGAUCAGCCGGAUUGGGACUGAGAUACGGCCCAGACUCCUACGGGGGGCAGCAAUUAGGAAUCUUGCGCAAUGGACGAAAGUCUGACGCAGCGACGCCGCGUGAGGGAUGACGGCAUUCGUGUUGUAAACCUCUUUUGUCGGGGAAGAAAAAAAUGACGGUACCCGGCGAAUAAGCCCCGGCUAACUACGUGCCAGCCGCCGCGGUAAUUC
rnacentral:rRNA from 1 species